UACAGAGGGUGCGAGCGUUAAUCAGAAUUACUGGGCGUAAAGGGCGCGUAGGCGGUUAUAUAAGUUAGAUGUGAAAUCCCUGGGCUUAACCUAGGAACUGCAUCUAAUACUGUAUAGCUAGAGUGCAGUAGAGGGUAGUGGAAUUCCUGGUGUAGCGGUGAAAUGCGCAGAUAUCAGGAGGAACACCAAUGGCGAAGGCAGCACUCUGGGACGUGACUGACGCUGAGACGCGAAAGCGUGGGGAGCAAACAGG
rnacentral:rRNA from 1 species